AAAUAUUUGAACAGAGCAAACGCCAGUUUAGCAUCUGCGCUAAAACUAAAUUCUAACCGAAUAGUAACAGAUGAUGUUAAACCAACAGACGAUAGAUAGGAGGAUUGUGUUUUAAGAGUUUUGACAUAAUUGUGGCUACCCAAUGUUUUCCCCUUAUAUUAAUAAAACAAUGGCGUCAAGAGAAUUUUAGAAAAUAGUAAUAAACUUACUCUAGUUCUGUUUAGGUCAUCACUUACACACAAAUAUCCUCUUAUUCACUUAGAAAAUGUUGUAUCAUCAAUCAGCUAAACUUUCGGAUUAAGUUUUUGUCCAGAUGCUAAACUGGCCUUUGCUCUGUUAUGUAUUUCGCUAUUAUGAGGGAACUGAAAACAACAAUGAGAAUUGAUAUGUUUGUAUGAUCUUUUGGAAUAGUUGAAUGGGGACCGGUCAAUUAUUCCUAAAGAUCAUGCAAAUUACGGACGUGUCAACUUUGCACCUUUUUUUACAUUUUGCCAUUCCUCUUGAUAUUAAAUACUCGAACAGAGCAAACGCCAGAUUAGCAUCUGCGCUAAAACUAAAUUCUAACCGAAUAGUAACAGAUGAUGUUAAACCAACAGAGGAUAGUUGAAUGGGGACCGGUCAAUUAUUCCUAAAGAUCAUGCAGAUUACGGACGUGUCAACUUUGGACCUUUUUUUUCAAUUUACUAUUACUCUUGAUAAUAAAUAUUCGUACAGAGCAAACGCCAGAUUUGCAUCUGCGCUAAAACUAAAUUCUAACCGAAUAGUAACAGAUGAUGUUAAGCCAACAGAGGAUAGAGAGGAGGAUUGUGUCUCAACAGUUUUGACAUAAUUGUGGCUACCCAAUGUUUUCCCCUUAUAUUAAUAAAAAAAUGGCGUCGAGAGAAAUUUAGAAAAUAG